GUAGUUUAUAUUUACAGAGUGUAUUAUGUAGAAUACUUAGUAUGUGGGAUGUGGGUAGUAGUACGCAAUUUGGUUGGACGCUGUUUGAGCGGAAGUGACAGGGUUAAUUUGUGCAUACAGCGGUCAGAGUAUGACGUAUUUUUCCAGUCGUGCAGUAUUUCUGAGUACAGGGAAAGUUCUUGACGAAAAACUACCUCAAAAGCAUAGCUCAUAUGUUUUAAUGGUGAAAACCUGCACAGAAAUAAAAGGUGGAAAAUAUCUGAUGACUCCUACUCCUUGAUCAGAGUACUGAAGCGGUUAAGCACAAUAAAGAAUCGGCAUUCAGUGGGGCAAUACCCAACAUCUAGAAUAGAUAUGCUUAUAGAAAUGACUUUGGUUUCUUGUAAACUGGAGUUAAAAUAACCACUGAAACUAGCACUACAUGUCUGCCAUGAGGUCAUGGAGGGAAGGUGAUGCUUACGUAUUGAUAAAAGUGGCAAUUACACGUGAUAUUUUCACAUUUUCAUAUUCACACAUAUCUGUCAAAGAGAAUCUUUAAUCUCUCAGAUGUUUUUUGAUGGGUUUAGUAUUUUGUAGUGAAGCUGUUUUAUGUUGUCUGAGCUUCAUAUGAACAGGAAUGAAAAGGCCCUUCAACAACACGCUGUUCACACCUCCGACGCAAACGUCAUGAACACACUGUUUAUCCACACAACAAGUCGAACCACAUCUUGUGUACAGCUCGGCAAUAAACCCCAGCACAGGUUUCAAUAUGACUCAAACUGAGAUGUUAGUGGGCCAGAGCCUCAAACUCACAGGCGUAAAGGUUAUCUGACUGCGACUAAACCAUGAGUUUCCUCAUUGUUUUAGCCAAAUCUACAUUGGGUGUUUGACUUCAGCUGGAUUGAACCGGUGAGAUUUCCUGCUUUCAGUUGUGGAGAAACUGAAGACAUAGACUUGAAGUCGAACACCUUCUGCUUCCUGUAGAGAUGUUUUGCGUAGGCGAGUUUGCGAGUUGAUAAGAUUCAAAAGGCCAUAACGAUUUUCAUGACACUUUCAUUCAGUACUUUGUUUAUUGGUUAAAACAGCGCUUGUGCGUGCAAGAAUACAGUUCAACAUGAGACUAUGAAUACCAAAAGUGGUGCUACAUAUUUUAUGAGUUUUAUUUUGAUAAACAUGACUCAAUGUUACAUUAAGAUAAGGCUACAUGAAAUAAGUUUUUACUGUUAUACAAUAUUGUCUGCGUCUGAAAUCGCAUAUUUCCCAA